UACAGGUGUACGAACAGGUUCUCACAGACACACACAGGUGUACAAACAGGUUCUCACAGACACAUACAGGUGUACACACAGGUUCUCACAGACACAUACAGGUGUACACACAGGUUCUCACAGACACAUACAGGUGUACAAACAGGUUCUCACAGACACAUACAGGUGUACAAACAGGUUCUCACAGACACACACAGGUGUACAAACAGGUUCUCACAGACACACACAGGUGUACAAACAGGUUCUCACAGACACACACAGGUGUACAAACAGGUUCUCACAGACACACACAGGUGUACAAACAGGUUCUCACAGACACACACAGGUGUACAAACAGGUACUCACAGACACAUACAGGUGUACACACAGGUUCUCACAGACACACACAGGUGUACAAACAGGUACUCACAGACACAUACAGGUGUACACACAGGUUCUCACAGACACAUACAGGUGUACAAACAGGUUCUCACAGACACACACAGGGGUACACACAGGUUCUCACAGACACACACAGGGGUACAAACAGGUUCUCACAGUCACACACAGGGGUACAAACAGGUUCUCACAGACACAUACAGGUGUACACACAGGUUCUCACAGACACAUACAGGUGUACACACAGGUUCUCACAGACACAUACAGGUGUACACACAGGUUCUCACAGACACAUACAGGUGUACACACAGGUUCUCACAGACACAUACAGGUGUACACACAGGUUCUCACAGACACAUACAGGUGUACACACAGGUUCUCACAGACACACACAG